CUACGUGCCAGCAGCCGCGGUAAUACGUAGGUGGCAAGCGUUGUCCGGAAUUAUUGGGCGUAAAGCGCGCGCAGGCGGAUUGGUCAGUCUGUCUUAAAAGUUCGGGGCUUAACCCCGUGAUGGGAUGGAAACUGCCAAUCUAGAGUAUCGGAGAGGAAAGUGGAAUUCCUAGUGUAGCGGUGAAAUGCGUAGAUAUUAGGAAGAACACCAGUGGCGAAGGCGACUCUCUGGACGAAAACUGACGCUGAGGCGCGAAAGCCAGGGGAGCGAACGGGAUUAGAUACCCCGGUAGUCCUGGCCGUAAACGAUGGGUACUAGGUGUAGGAGGUAUCGAACCCUUCUGUGCCGGAGUUAACGCAAUAAGUACCCCGCCUGGGGAGUACGACCGCAAGGUUGAAACUCAAAGGAAUUGACGGGGGCCCGCACAAGCGGAGGAACAUGUGGUUUAAUUCGAUGAUACGCGAGGAACCUUACCCGGGCUUGAA
rnacentral:rRNA from 1 species